AUUUUAUCAUCGGAAAGGGAUUGGCUGAGGAGUUUGUAAAAACUCCGAGGUUAAACUUUCUUGGAUAAUAGUAGUACCAAGAUGGGUGACCUCAUGGGAAGCCUUACCAAAUC
rnacentral:rRNA from 1 species